GGUGCCAUAGCUCAGUUGGUAGAGCAAAGGACUGAAAAUCCUUGUGUCCCCGGUUCGAUUCCUGGUGGCACCACGA
rnacentral:tRNA from 17 species